AAUGCAUCAGCUCUGCUUACAGCUAACUACAACAAGCUGUGUAGAACUAGUAGAGUAACCAUAUUUGUAUACAUAAAAAAAAAAAAACAGUACAAAAAAUUUUGGCACAACUUCCAACAAAUUUAUAGUGGUCUUUAUAUUUUAAUGAUACUUUGGAGUUUGGAGAUAAUGUUUUCCUAUUAUAUGCGGUUUUUAUUUAUGUGCAUACCUAUAAUUAUAAAUUAUAAUAUAAUAUGAAGAUAACGAGAUUAAAAUGGGAUUUAAAACGUUCCAUUUGAAGUUUUUCGACACAAGGGAUCAGUGUACCAAUUAUUCUUCUCCUAUAUUUUACGGUGUAUGACUAAUGAAGGGAAUAUAAUACAUUUAUUUGUAUUGUAUUUAUAACGAAAAAAAUAUAAAUAUCUUCUUCAGAAUACAGUAGGUAACCCUCAAUAAACUUAGAGUAGAAGUGGGCAGAUCUAAAAAAUAUCUAAAGAAAUGGGGCAUUCUUCAAGACAUCUCCACAAAAUGCGAGUGUGGUAUGGAACAAAAUACGGAACACCAACUGAACUGCCAAAGCUGCCCAUCUUCCUGUUCGAAGGAAAACUUUCUGUCAGAAAAUCAAAAUGCUAUAAAAGUAGCAAGAUUCUGGUCAAGGGUAAUCUAAAACUAAAACAAAUCUACCAACUCUAACAGUUAUUUUACCAUAAAGUUAUAUCCAUUGAAAAUUCUAUUUUAUUUCUAAUUGUUCUUAUUACCUAAACAAUUUAUGUAUUUAAUUAUAUU